UUGUUAAGUAAAAAUAGAAUGCUCUGGAGUAUUUCAAAAUGGUUCCUUUGCCCUUCUUCCUGCCAGAAAUAUGAGGGAGUUUUUCUCUGAUACUGUGAGCACCUCGUAAAGCUCCUAGAGGAAAAAACAAAAAAUAUGGGGCCCUCCUGACUGGGUUCCCCUCGAGUUUUUAAUUCUACACUGAGACUUCAGCAAUUCUGUCAAUUACUGUUCAGGUUUUCUUACCCUGGCAAUGGUUCCUGUGGAAUAUGCUGCUCAUAGGUUCCUGCUUGAGCUUCCUUCUGUAAUAUAAAACUGGUGGUGAAGAAUUUGUUUCAUCCUUCAGAUUUCUCCCCAUGAAUCAGAUACUAGUGAAGCGCUAAAGGAUAUGAGACCUAUCUCUAUGUGUUCACGGUCCAGACAAGAGGAGAGCCCCUGCCAGGAUGUGCUGUGCUUCUGGAAGAGGGAAAGAGCAGUGACAGAGCCAUAAGAAAGCUCUUUAGGUUUCUGCUCAGAAGCAGCAAACAUCACUUUCUUUCACAUUUGAAUGCUCACAGAAAGUGAUACGAUUAAUAUUAAUAUAGUUGUUAAUGGGGUAGGGAAGUAAAAUCCUCUUAAGGACAUAAUUUUGAACAGUGACAAUCCAUGACAUAAAGACAUAAUUAUUCCUUAUAACAAGUCCAAAUUUAUCUCCUUCUAAUUUUUCUACAAUUAGUAAAGUCUAUUAUUUCUCACCACAGCUAUGUUCUAGGGUCCUCUUACUUCUGUUUGCACAGUCCUCAACUUUGUUCAGCAUACUUUUAUUUUUUUCUUUAACCAUGAUUGCUGGUUUUCCUUCUUCAUUCCUUGUCUCCAUCCCCAAUACACUCUCUACACAACAAGGGUCACCUCUUUUAAAUAUGAGUAUAAUCAUGUUAGUGUUUAAAACCUUAUAAUCAUUUCCUGUUACUCAUAACAGGGCUAUAAUUAUUCUCCAUGUAAAAAUGCCCUGCAUGAUCUCUUUCCUGCUUUCCACUCUAUAUUCUCUUCCUGUGCUUUCUCUCUUCCUCCAGACGCUCAGUAUAGAUCAAAAUGUUUCCCCUAACUCUCCAAAUGGCCCAUUCCAUUUUAUUUUGUACUCAGUUAAAUGUCACCUCAUCAGAGAAGUCUUCCUCAAUUGCCCCAUGCAAAGUAGAACACCUACUCUGUUACUUUCUCCUUUAGCCAGUUUAUUUAUUUAUUUUAUAAUAGCAUCAAUCUCUAGAAUGUUUGGUAAAACACCAAUAUAAUAUUGUUGAGUCCUGAAAUUAUAACAUAUGGGUCUGGAAUAAAGGGGUAUGCAUAGAAUUAGGCCUCUUGCCAUUACUCUCAGAGACCCACUUGGAAAUGUCUUUCCCAUCUCUAUAACUUGAAUCUCUGCUGAAUUAGUCUGUAUUUCCAACCAGACACAAUGAUGUUUUCAGUAAAACUGAAGCUAUUGCAGUUGUAUUGUCAUUUGGGACAUCAUAUGCCAGUAGACUAGUUAAGAAAGAAAACAGUUACCAUUCUUCUAAGGGAAAACUGAGCUCUGAUUAUCAUGAGGAGCUGGACCCACUGCCACACAGUCAGAAUGGGGAGGAAUGUGUCUGGAACUUGGAGAGUUAUCAAAGCAUCUUUUUGAGUUUUCUUGACUGAUAAGAGUGGAAGGAAAAUUGCGUCUCCCACAGCUUGACAAAAAACAAAACAUCCAAAUGCUCAGACCCCUCGGGAAUAAAAGAUCUGAAUCAGCUCACCUAGAAUAUGGAGAUUUAAUAAGCAUUUCUCAGCAACCAGUCAUUGAUAAGAAAAAGGCAACAAAUGUCUCAGACUCCUUGAGAAAGAUCUCCACCAUCUGACUAGACAGGCGUCUAGACUGCGACAGUGCUGGACAGAGGGCAAUCUAGAAUGGCAGCUAGAGGAUGGAGAUAAUGAACAUUAUGACCUUAGGAAAAACUUUAGCGGAGGGUACUAGAGCUUGUCUCAUUAAACCUUAGUAUUGAGUCUUUUUUUAAGAGAAUGUGAUUGGUUACCACUCCGAAGAGUAAUUCACAGUAAAAUUAACAUGGGUUACAAAUAGAGUGGCGUGGUGUUGGAGGAGAUGCUUUCCUAAAAUCCUCUUACCCCACUGUACAUUCAGUUACAGUUGUGGCAGACACUUCUGUGUGUGCUGACAGUACCCUCAAGCAUGCGCCAUUCAUCUUGCUGCAUUUCUGUCUCAUAAUUUUCCCUGACAAUGCAGAAGCCCACUCAGCUCACAUGCAGGCAUUUCCUGGCAAUGCAGGAGUGUUAAUGCUGCAGGGGUUGGGAUCUGAUGCACAGCUGCCCUAGCCAUCCUCUGUAUGGACACUGUUUUGAGGUGCUCUAUAUAUUUAGCAGAGGACCUGGUUGAGUUGAGCCCCUGUUGAAUACAGCCGUGACCUCAAGAAGGUGCUGUUUAUUGGAUUUUCCUAGUUCAUAUCACAUUUUCCCUGUUCCCUCACUUCAACUUUCUGUAAUGAACUACCAACCAAAAUGCCUGCACCCAAAUUUGGGUCUUAAGUUCAGUUUACGGGAGAACUCAGACAAUUAUGAUGUAACUUCAGAAAACGAGGAUAUGGCUAUAUAAUGGAUUGCCUAUAACAAUUAACUUGGGUGUCUAGAAAGCCAAAUAGGACAAAGAAUAGCAAAGUACAAUUAUUUAGCAACAAAGAGAGGUUUACAUUACAAAGUUGGGCAUCCAGAAAGAAUUUUAGUGUUGGGGAAAAAGUCCAUCUGUCAUUUGUGUUAAGAUGCUUAUUAUUAGCCAUCCGACAUUGCUGUGCUUCAUGUACCAAAUUAAAAGGGAUUGAGCAGAACAACUGUGUAAGCCGCUUAUCUCCUCAGUGUGCUUUUUUAAUACAGAAUUUAUUGUGUAUUUUCCUAUUUAUAAAAUGAUAUAUAUUCAUCAUAGAAGAUUUGAAUAUUACAAAAACAU